CCUACGGGGCGCAGCAGUGGGGAAUAUUGGGCAAUGGGCGAAAGCCUGACCCAGCAACGCCGCGUUCAGGAAGAAUGCUUUCGGGUUGUAAACUUCUUUUGACAGGGAAGAGCAGAAGACGGUACCUGUCGAAUCAGCCACGGCUAACUACGUGCCAGCAGCCGCCGUCAUACGAAGGGGGGAAUCUUUGUCCGGAUUUACUGGGUGUAAAGGGCGGGUAGCCGGGCUGCAAAGGCAGAUGUUAAAUCCGGGGGCUCAACCCCCGAACUGCAUUUGAAACUGUUGGUCUUGAGGUACCGAGAGGCAGGCGGAAUUCCUAGUGUAGCGGUGAAAUGCGUAGAUAUUAGGAGGAACACCAGUGGCGAAGGCGGCCGGCUGGACGAAAACUGACGGUGAGGCGCGAAAGCGUGGGGAGCAAACAGGAUUAGAUACCCGAGUAGUC
rnacentral:rRNA from 1 species